rnacentral:rRNA from 1 species
GGUGAACGCUGGCGGCGUGCCUAAUACAUGCAAGUCGAACGACCGCACGAUGAGCUUUCUCCUUUGACGUUAGCGGCUGACGGGUGGGUAACACAUACAUAACCUUCUUAUUUUUCUUGGGUAACUUCGUGGGACCGCUUCUGAUACCACCUAAUAUAUUCUACCGCUUGGUUCAAUAGUUCUUGACGCCUUUCCUGUUUCUUAUAGAUGGUUCCGCGUCGCAUUAGCUAGUUGGUAAGGUAACGGCUUACCAAGGCUACGAUGCGUAGCUGACCUGAGAGGAUGAUCAGCCACACUGGAACUGAGACACGGUCCAGACUCCUACGGGAGGCAGCAGUAGGGAAUAUUCCGCAAUGGGCGAAAGCCUGACGGAGCAAUGCCGCGUGAGUGAUGAAGGUCUUCGGAUCGUAAAACUCUGUUAUUAGGGAAGAAAAAAUGUGUAAGUAAACAUGCACGUCUUGACGGUACCUAAACAGAAAGCAACGGCUAACUACGUG